GUUUUUUUGUUCAUUGUUUUUUAUAUAGCUUACCGCUCAUGCCAAGUGGUAUUCUUAAUUCUUUUAUAAUUAGGAUUAGGAUAUUUCAGCCUAAACUUAUCAGACACAUGCGACUGAUGCACAAGCACAAAUAUUACAUGUUGUAUUCAUCGCUGGGAACUCUUGAAGGACGCGUUUGGUUGACAUCUUAACAAAUGUCUGCAUUGCAUACUUGUCUCGGGCAAAAAACCAACAUCUACACUUAGUUUGAUUGUCUGCAUUGAGACUGCCUGCAUUAGGAAAUCGGUUUUUGCAUGGUGUUUGGUGUCAUGCAUUGGCUCGGCACAUGCAACUAAACGGUAUUUGAUUAUGAGAACUGCUAUACAGACGACAUUCACAGACGAUUUCAGCACGACACUCCAUCUCACACCAUCCAUUCAAGACACCAAUGUACAGAAAGUUGUUGGAUUUGGAAUCGGCUCAGGAUCGUGCAAGCAAAUAUCGUCUGUGAAGAAGUUUCGUUUGAUUAUAUACAUGGGUGAUAGCUAACAUCUACACAUAACACACAAUUACUCG
rnacentral:lncRNA from 1 species